CUUUUCAUCUUAAAAACCAGUGGUGUAGUCUACGUGACACGCAGGUAUACGCAGUUUACCCACUAAGAAAGCUCCAGGAUUUCCACAUACCCGCUUAAAAAUG